rnacentral:lncRNA from 8 species
GUGUCUGUAUAGGAGAUAUUAUAUUCUGUGUCUGUAUAGGAGAUUGUAACGGGGCGUCGUAUAGAGGGGACCAAAACGCAGCGUGUUGAGUGCUCAUUAUGAUAUUUAUUAACUCAAAAAUACUAAAGACAAAAUAACAAAUGGCAAAAGAUCAGAAAUACAGUUCUGUCAGGUACAAAGACUAACCAGAAAAUAACUGCCCACAAACACAGGUGGAAAAAAACCCUACUUAAAUAUGAUCUCCAAUCAGAGGCAACGAGGACCAGCUGCCUCCAACUGGAGAUCAACCCAAAAAACAACAACAUAGAAAUAGAUAAACUAGAACUUAAACAUAGAAAUAGAAAACAUAGAAAAACACAAAACACCCCCUGUCACACCCUGACCUACUCAACCAUAGAAAAUCACAUCUUACCAUGGUAAGGACGUGACAGAGAUAUUAUAUUCUGUGUCUGUAUAGGAGAUAUUAAUAAAGCAUGUUUACAUUCAGUACGCAUAUACAAUUGCAAUCAUCAUCUGAGACACAGUCCAUUGUCUGAGAUAUAUUGAUACAGAAGUAAGAAGUUCAGCCUCCUCUUCCUCCUCCCCCUGAUCCCCUAUUGUCCUGCCAGCCCCUCCCUCGGUGAGGCUGUGGCCCCCAGUGGUGAUGGUCCCUGUGGGGGCCCAGGUGGUGUUCCACUGCCAGGUUUGGGGACAUCCCCUUCCCUCCAUCGUCUGGUCCAAACAGGGACGCUCUAUGCAGACUGGUGGAAAGAUCGCUGUGGGGGUGAGAAACGCUACCCUCUACAUCCUGUCUGUCAGGAGCUAUGACGAGGGCACUUACACCUGUGCAGCCUCUAACACUGUGGGGCAUGACUGGAGCACAGCUACUUUACGUGUUGCUGGUACGGACAACGAAGUUAACUUGAUCAACAUUACCUGGAAGUGGAGCUCAGGCAUGUGAUUAAGGUGUUUAUUACCUGAAUUAAUGUACUGAGACGAUGAUAAGGAUUGUUUGAUGUGGAGCUCUCUCCCCCUUCACCCCCCCUCUCUGGCUCAGUGAGCCCCAUCAUAGUGUCCUUCGUUGGGGCAGUGAGCAGCUCAGAAGGGUCCUCUGUGGUCCUGCCAUGCAGAGCAGUGGGGGACCUCCCCAUCAGGUACACCUGGACCAGAGGACACUCUCAGACCUCAAUCACCCCAACCCUGGAGAGGCAUGUAGAUGAUGAGGGGGCUCUGCAUAUCUCCAGUGUUCAGUUAUCUGAUGCAGGGGUCUACCACUGUGCCGCUGAGAACAGAGCGGGACAACAGCAAAGAAGAGCCACCCUCACCAUCUCUGGUAUUAUCCAUGUCUUUAUGAUAUCUACAGUAGAAUACACACACACAAACACACACACACUGUCAACCUAUCUAUGCUCAUCAUUAUCUCCUCUAUCUAAAGCUGAAGAUGACCCGGCUGAUAGGGACAAGCAGCAUAGACAGAUUGUGUCUGCAGUUCCAAACAUUGAAGCAGAGCAGAGAACUCCCCUGUCCAGUAACGUCCUGAGUCUAGCUCAGCGUUCUGAGAUAACCCAAUUACAGGCAGGAAGCACAGGUGUGUAUAGCCCAAAACUUAAAUCAUAG